CAAUAGCGUAUAUUAAAGUUGUUGCAGUUAAAAAGCUCGUAGUUGGAUUUCUGGUAGGAGCGACCGUGCCGAACUUGAUUGUUCGAGUAUUGUGUUGUCUUCAGCCAUCCUCGUGGAGAACUUUUCUAACAUUAACUUGUUGGGAUUGGGGCCCGCGUCGUUUACUGUGAAAAAAUUAGAGUGUUUAAAGCAGGCAUUAGCUUGAAUACAUUAGCAUGGAAUAAUAAGAUAGGACUUUGGUACUAUUUUGUUGGUUUGCAUACCAAAUUAAUGAUCAACAGGAACAGUUUGAGGAUAUUCGUAUGAACAUGUCAGAGGUGAAAUUCUUGGAUUUUGAUCAGACGAACUACUGCGAAAGCAUUUAUCAAGGAUGUUUUCAUUAA
rnacentral:rRNA from 1 species